UGAUAUUCAGAUUCGUCUUUAUCACUCUAAAUUUGCGUAGAUUCUUUGGGACUGUCACUGCAUGAUUACAUACACUGAGGCACGUUGUUUGAAAUUAACCCCGAGCCUUUCUAGCCAUCCUAAAUACUUUUAUCCCUUGUAAACCCCAUUUGAGCCUGUAUCCAUUUGUUUGUUUAAACCCCAUAAAUGUACCCCUUGGCUAAAACACUUCCUUACCCU
rnacentral:lncRNA from 1 species